AUUGAACGCUGGCGGAAUGCUUUACACAUGCAAGUCGAACGGUAGAGGGGGCAACCCCUCGAGAGUGGCGAACGGGUGAGUAAUAUAUCGGAACGUGCCCAGUCGUGGGGGAUAACGUAGUGAAAGUUACGCUAAUACCGCAUACGAUCUAAGGAUGAAAGCGGGGGAUCGCAAGACCUCGCGCGAUUGGAGCGGCCGAUAUCAGAUUAGGUAGUUGGUGGGGUAAAGGCUCACCAAGCCAACGAUCUGUAGCUGGUCUGAGAGGACGACCAGCCACACUGGAACUGAGACACGGUCCAGACUCCUACGGGAGGCAGCAGUGGGGAAUUUUGGACAAUGGACGCAAGUCUGAUCCAGCCAUUCCGCGUGCAGGAUGAAGGCCCUCGGGUUGUAAACUGCUUUUGUACGGAACGAAAAGGUCUCUCUUAAUACGGGGGACUCAUGACGGUACCGUAAGAAUAAGCACCGGCUAACUACGUGCCAGCAGCCGCAGUAA
rnacentral:rRNA from 1 species